CCUACGGGAGGCAGCAGUGGGGAAUUGUUCACAAUGGGCGCAAGCCUGAUGACGCAACGCCGCGUGGGGGAUGAAGGUCUUCGGAUCGUAAACCCCUGUCGAAUGGGACGAAUAGUCUCCGGACCAAUACCCCGGAGGAAUGACGGUACCGUUAAAGGAAGCCACGGCUAACUCUGUGCCAGCAGCCGCGGUAAUACAGAGGUGGCAAGCGUUGUUCGGAAUUACUGGGCGUAAAGGGCGCGUAGGCGGCCAUCUAAGUCAGACGUGGAAUCCCCCGGCUCAACCUGGGAACUGCGUCUGAUACUGGAAGGCUAGAGUUUGGGAGAGGGAUGUAGAAUUCCAGGUGUAGCGGUGAAAUGCGUAGAUAUCUGGAGGAAUACCGGUGGCGAAGGCGGCAUCCUGGACCAAUACUGACGCUGAGGCGCGAAAGCUAGGGGAGCAAACGGGGAUUAGAUACCCCGGUAGUCCUAGCCCUAAACGAUGAAUACUUGGUGUGGCGGGUAUCGAUCCCUGCCGUGCCGAAGCUAACGCAUUAAGUAUUCCGCCUGGGGAGUACGGUCGCAAGGCUGAAACUCAAAUGAAUUGACGG
rnacentral:rRNA from 1 species